UCUCCCCUCAGGCUUCUUUUCUCAAGACUAAACAUGCCCAGUUCUUUCUCAAGUUCAGCUCCUGUCAAGGAGGCACAGUGGGGAA
rnacentral:sRNA from 1 species